AUUGAACGCUGGCGGCAGGCCUAACACAUGCAAGUCGAGCGGAUGAGGGAAGCUUGCUUCCCGAUUUAGCGGCGGACGGGUGAGUAAUGCCUAGGAAUCUGCCUAUUAGUGGGGGAUAACGUUCCGAAAGGAACGCUAAUACCGCAUACGUCCUACGGGAGAAAGUGGGGGAUCUUCGGACCUCACGCUAAUAGAUGAGCCUAGGUCGGAUUAGCUAGUUGGUGAGGUAACGGCUCACCAAGGCGACGAUCCGUAGCUGGUCUGAGAGGAUGAUCAGCCCAACUGGAACUGAGACACGGUCCAGACUCCUACGGGAGGCAGCAGUGGGGAAUAUUGGACAAUGGGCGAAAGCCUGAUCCAGCCAUGCCGCGUGUGUGAAGAAGGUCUUCGGAUUGUAAAGCACUUUAAGUUGGGAGGAAGAGUUGUAAGCUAAUAUCUUGCAGCUUUGACGUUACCAACAGAAUAAGCACCGGCUAACUCUGUGCCAGCCGCCGCCGUAACAC
rnacentral:rRNA from 1 species